UACGUAGGUGGCAAGCGUUGUCCGGAUUACUGGGCGUAAAGGGCGCGUAGGCGGCCUUCUAAGUCAGACGUGAAAUCCCCCGGCUUAACCGGGGAACUGCGUCUGAUACUGGAUGGCUUGAAUCCGGGAGAGGGAUGCGGAAUUCCAGGUGGUAGCGGUGAAAUGCGUAGAUAUCUGGAGGAACACCGGUGGCGAAGGCGGCAUCCUGGACCGGCAUUGACGCUGAGGAGCGAAAGCCAGGGGAGCAAACGGG
rnacentral:rRNA from 1 species